rnacentral:rRNA from 1 species
AACGAACGCUGGCGGCAUGCCUAACACAUGCAAGUCGAACGAGACCUUCGGGUCUAGUGGCGCACGGGUGCGUAACGCGUGGGAACCUGCACUUAGGUUCGGAAUAACUCUCAGAAAGGGGUGCUAAUACCGGAUAAUGUCUUAGGACCAAAGAUUUAUCGCCCUUGGAUGGGCCAGCGUUGGAUUAGCUAGUUGGUAGGGUAAAAGCCUACCAAGGCGACGAUCCAUAGCUGGUCUGAGAGACUGAUCAGCCACACUGGGACUAAGACACGGCCCAGACUCCUACGGGAGGGAGCAGUGGGGGAUAGAGGACAGUGGGCGGAGGCCUGAUCCAGCAAUGCCGGGUAAGUUAUGAUGGCCUUAGAGUUGUAAAGCUCUAUUACCCGGGAUGAUAAUGACGGUACCGGGUGAAUAAGCUCCGGCUAACUCCGUG